CCAGAGGGUCGGGCGGCCGCGGGUGCUUUAGAGCGCGCGAGGAAAGUCCGGGCUCCACGGAAACGACGGUGCCGGAUAAUGUCCGGCGAGGGUGACCUUAGGGAAAGUGCCACAGAGAGCAAACCGCCGAUGGUCCUUUCGGGGACACAGGCAAGGGUGAAAGGGUGCGGUAAGAGCGCACCGCGCGACUGGUAACAGAAGCGGCAUGGCAAACCCCACCGGGAGCAAGACCGAAUAGGGGUGGCGCGAGAGCAAUCUCAGGGCAAGUUCCGGCCCGCUACCCGGGUUGGUUGCUUGAGCCCCGAAGUAAUUCGGGGCCUAGAGGAAUGGUCGCCUAUCCCCCUGUCAGGGGGUGGACAGAACCCGGCUUACAGACCCUCUGGCAUU
rfam:Proteobacteria bacterium ST_bin13 218, whole genome shotgun sequence.